ensembl:lncRNA
UUUUCCCAUCAGUACUUCCUGCAUGCAGAAGGACAUAAUUUACAACAUUUAGACUAAUACUUUCCUGUGAGCCAGACAAGACUGUAAUAAUAAUUUCCAUCUUUGGAGAUACACUAAAGCCGUGAGUCAGCUUUCCCAUCAUUUGCUGUUUCAUAACUCUACCAGCCUCAGCUCCCCUGGCUGGAUCACAGAGAGAAAAAGAGGGAGCUCAAAUCCAUUCCUAAAAAAUAAAUAAUCUGAAACACUGGCUAAAAAAAAAGAUAAAAUCUGAAAUGUCCCACUUGACAUCCCCCCUUGGUUAGCACUUUAAUUUCGGAAAGCAAGGCAAACAGAAUGCAACACAGAAAGAACAAGUUAUCCUUUCACUCUUUGUUUGCUUCAUAAAUCAGAGAGCUCUAUAAAAUUACAGCAGAAAAAAGAAACAAUAAUAAUGCACUGUGAAUCUCUUUAACCAAUUAUCCCAUUUCCUGCCUUCCCAUUAAGCUGCACUCUGAGUUCCUGUAUUUGGAGAGAAAAUGCAUUUGUGUUGUACAGUAGGAGGCACGUUUAAAUGCAUUACAUGACAGCUGGUAUAUUAAUGUCACUUGUACUCAAUAACAAGAAUUACCUAUUGGAAAAUGUCUUGUAAAGUCACAGGCAAAUGGUUGGUUACUCUGUUGGCAAAUCAUCAAUUUUCUUCUGUUGUGAAACUCACAGAGUGCUGUGACCCUGUUGAGUUCAUACCAUAGGCUAUCUACUUGCAGCUGAAUAUGAUUGCCUUCCAAGUGUAGACUCUUAGCAGCGUGGCCGUGGGUGACUGGAAAGACCUAUUGUGGAUCCCUAUGUUCUUUCACAGAGAGCACUCCUCUAUCGGAAGGUAUCUACUUUUUGAGAUUCAUCCAUUGCACAUCAAGGUUGAAGAUAAAGGGACAUCAGCAGGCCAAGCACCAGUGAAGUUCUGGAUAGCAGGCUCAGCAGGUGUGCAGGUCAGUCGGUCCCUAUCUUCCUCAAUCUGAUGGGAUUUAUUCAAUUUCUAUUUAUAUUAUAGAAGUGAUUUCUAUAUUUGCAUCUGUCCUAUAGAUCACUGUAGCCAUCACAACAUAUGAACAUUUCAUGCAAAAACGUUCUUGUACUUUUUUUGGAUAGGUGGCCACUCCAACAUUGACAUUUUGCAUCCUGACCAUCUUGAAAUGACUAACCAUUUAAGAUGAAUGUCAAGAACAGGAGCUAAUUCAUAAUCCAUCAUAAUCUCCAUCAUCAACAUUAUUCUUAUCGCUAUGCAUUUGUCAGGUAACAACAUCAUUUAAGGGUACAAUUCUUUAAAAAUAACCAUCAACUUCCCAUAGAUUUCACUAUGACCUUUAUCGAAAGAAAGAGCUUUACACUUGGCUCUAAAAAAAUAUAUGAAUGAAUGGAUGAGUAAAUGGAAUUUCUGUAUGGAGGUUAUGACUAACACAGUCAUUCUGUAUUUGCUCUGGGAACUUUUAAUCUCUUAUAAUCAUUCCAUUACAAAGAACACUGUCUCUAGUUUAGCUAAUAAGAACAAGGGGGAGAGGGAGGGAGGAAGAAAAGAAUGAGAUAUGUUGUGCUUUGGUAGUUGAGAACAAACAGUAUUGGGGGAAGAAUGGGGUUGGAAUUUGAGCGAAAAUUAAAUCAGUGUUUCCCGGCAAGGAAGGAAUACCUGUGGGCCUGACAUCAUAGUUUCACUCCAGGUAAUUGGAGCAAACCGGAUGAAAGAAAUUCUAUUUUUGGAAGACCUUUUGACUGCAUAGGCUAAUGAUCGCUCUAAAUUAAACACCUUUGAAAAUACAUGCUCAUUUCUUUUUGAGUCAGUUUUGAAGUCCAUAAUAUUCAUGGGUUGUUUGCCAAAGAAUUUGAUCUGACUGAUUAUACCUUUGGAGACAACUUACUCUAUGGAGGGUGGGUGGGGAGGUGCAGUUGCAACAUGCAGCUGAAAUUUCUGUACAAAAUACAUAAUUUGUCGAUCCCUAUAGCUUACAGUGUGUUAUACUUGUUGAAAUUAUAUGGUUAAAAUAAUGCUAAAGAAAAGAACUCAGUCUGCAAGGAGUUUAUAGAAUUUUCUGCUUUAAAUAUUUUCUUUUUCUGAUCUCUGGUUUGAAGACUGUCCACUCUGAUAUAGAGGAAUGGUCAAAUUAAUUCAGUUCUAAAAGACUGCAAACAAGCUAUGAUAAAAAAUAUCAUUUCCUUAUGCCAUACAAUCCAGUUCAGUGUGGAUUUUAUACAGCUGUGUAGAAGGGGCCUCAUAUAAUCCAGUUCUAAGCAGAUAAUAUAAGAUUAUAAAUAUAAUAUAUCAUAUUUACUGUGGUAUAAUAAUACAGAACAAUAGAAUCUCUAAAAUCAGGACAGUAAAUAAAGAGCAACACUCUGAAAAAACCAGGGCCAGCUAACACCUCCCAACAAAGGAUUUGCCCAGGCAGGAAGCAGGUAGGCUUUGUAGCUGCAAGGCCAUUAAAUGUUAAUCAAGGUGGCUAAUUGCAGCAUUCAUACUUGCCGCACUGAGACUAUUAAUUGCUGUUCAACCUGGCCAACCAAGAAUUCCACAAGAUAUAAAGCGGCCAGGCUUUGAAGCAGCAAGGCUAUUCAGUGCUGUUCAAUCUGC